rnacentral:tmRNA from 1 species
GGGGGUGACCGGUUUUGACAGCAAGAUGAGUCGUCACGGAAGCAUGCCGAGCCUCGCAGCGAAGCUCGUAAAUCUUAACUGCAAAAAAGUAAUUGGCGAAAAUAACUACGCUUUCGCUGCCUGAUCGAAGUACAGUAGAUCACUGGCUUAAUCCGCUCACAAGGUGGGUGGACGAAACAUCCCGCAGGUGGAGAUGCCUGAUUCCGGCCUGAGCACGGGGUGCUAAUCAAUUUCGGGAUAUUAGGAGAUAAGGUCAGGUUUAGGGCGUUCGUUCCCUUGCCUGGCACGAAAACCAACAGCGGAAUAAGCAUGUAGAAACCUUGGGGGUUCCUUGUUUGGACGAGGGUUCGACUCCCUCCAUCUCCAC